rnacentral:rRNA from 1 species
CACGUAGGGUGCGAGCGUUGUCCGGAAUUAUUGGGCGUAAAGAGCUCGUAGGCGGUGUGUCGCGUCGGCCGUGAAAACCUGCAGCUUAACUGUGGGCUUGCGGUCGAUACGGGCAUCACUGGAGUUCGGCAGGGGAGACUGGAAUUCCUGGUGUAGCGGUGAAAUUCGUAGAUAUCGGGAGGAACACCAGUGGCGAAGGCGGCGACCUGGACGGACACUGACGCUGAGACGCGAAAGCGUGGGGAGCAAACAGG